rnacentral:tRNA from 1 species
GGGUGAGUGGUGGAAUGGCAUACACGACGGACUUAAAAUCCGUUGACUGUAAUGGUCUUGAGGGUUCGAAUCCCUCCUUGCCCA